CUGCGACGGCCAUAAGGGGGUUAUUAUCACCAAGCAGCCCGAUUGGCGCCGUAGGUGGAGAAGACACCGAGGAAUGAGGGCGAAAGGAGGGAAAGCAUAGUUCCUGGCGGUUGACCAGUCUUGGGAGAAAGCAUUCGUAGCCGAAGCUUUGGGGUCUGGCCUCCAACUGAAGAAGGUCGGAAGUUGGGUGUUCAAACGGGAGGCAAACAAGUCUAUUGCCAGAGGACCCCACAGAUCCCAA